UGGCUGUGUAGCCCAACUUGGCAGAGGCACUACGCUAAGAACGUAUACAGUGAGAGUUCGAAUCUCUCCACAGCUACCAA
rnacentral:tRNA from 1 species